rnacentral:misc_RNA from 1 species
UACGGAGGGAGCGAACGUUGUUCGGAUUUACUGGGUGUAAAGGGUGCGUAGGCGGCCCCGUGUGUCAGAGGUGAAAUCCCACGGCUCAACCGUGGAAUUGCCUUUGAAACUGCAGGGCUUGAGUCCGAGAGGGGAAGGUGGAAUUCCUGGUGUAACGGUGAAGUGUGCAGAUAUCAGGAAGAACACCCGUGGCGAAGGCGGCCUUCUGGCUCGGAACUGACGCUGAGGCACGAAAGCUAGGGUAUCGAACGGG